GACGGACGCUGGCGGCGUGCUUAACACAUGCAAGUCGAACGCUGAAGCUUGGUGCUUGCACUGGGUGGAUGAGUGGCGAACGGGUGAGUAAUACGUGAGUAACCUGCCCUUGACUCUGGGAUAAGCCUGGGAAACUGGGUCUAAUACUGGAUACGACAUGUCACCGCAUGGUGGUGUGUGGAAAGGGUUUUACUGGUUUUGGAUGGGCUCACGGCCUAUCAGCUUGUUGGUGGGGUAAUGGCUCACCAAGGCGACGACGGGUAGCCGGCCUGAGAGGGUGACCGGCCACACUGGGACUGAGACACGGCCCAGACUCCUACGGGAGGCAGCAGUGGGGAAUAUUGCACAAUGGGCGGAAGCCUGAUGCAGCGACGCCGCGUGAGGGAUGACGGCCUUCGGGUUGUAAACCUCUUUCAGCACGGAAGAAGCGAAAGUGACGGUACGUGCAGAAGAAGCGCCGGCUAACUACGUG
rnacentral:rRNA from 1 species